UGAUAAAGUCCUCAUGACCAUGUCCC
rnacentral:piRNA from 1 species